GACGAACGCUGGCGGCGUGCUUAACACAUGCAAGUCGAGCGGAGACAUAUUGAGGAAGUUUUCGAAUGGAAUUGAUAUGUUUUAGCGGCGGACGGGUGAGUAACGCGUGAGCAACCUUUCCUCUACUGGGGAAUAACACAGGGAAACUUGUACUAAUACCGCAUGGGACCACGGCCUGGCAUCGGGCUGAGGUGAAGGGAGCAAUCCGGUGGCGGAUGGGCAUGCGGCGCAUUAGCUAGUCGGCGGGGUAACGGCCCACCGAGGCGACGAUGCGUAGGGGUUCUGAGAGGAAGGUCCCCCACACUGGUACUGAGACACGGACCAG
rnacentral:rRNA from 1 species